rnacentral:rRNA from 1 species
UAGGGAAUCUUCGGCAAUGGGGGCAACCCUGACCGAGCAACGCCGCGUGAGUGAAGAAGGUUUUCGGAUCGUAAAGCUCUGUUGUAAGAGAAGAACGUGUGUGAGAGUGGAAAGUUCACACAGUGACGGUAACUUACCAGAAAGGGACGGCUAACUACGUGCCAGCAGCCGCGGUAAUACGUAGGUCCCGAGCGCUGUCCGGAUUUAUUGGGCGUAAAGCGAGCGCAGGCGGUUUAAUAAGUCUGAAGUUAAAGGCAGUGGCUUAACCAUUGUUCGCUUUGGAAACUGUUAAACUUGAGUGAAGAAGGGGGGAGUGGAAUUCCAUGUGUAACGGUAAAAUGCGUGGAUAUAUGGAGGAACACCGGUGGCGAAAGAAGCUCGCUGGUCUGUAACUGACGCUGAGGGUCGAAAGAGUGAGGAGCAAACAGG